UACGGGGGGGGGCAAGCGUUUGUUCGGAAUUAUUGGGCGUAAAGGGCUCGUAGGCGGUCUGUCGCGUCGGGAGUGAAAACUCAGGGCUUAACCCUGAGCCUGCUUCCGAUACGGGCAGACUAGAGGUAUGCAGGGGAGAACGGAAUUCCUGGUGUAGCGGUGGAAUGCGCAGAUAUCAGGAGGAACACCGGUGGCGAAGGCGGUUCUCUGGGCAUUACCUGACGCUGAGGAGCGAAAGUGUGGGGGAGCGAACAGG
rnacentral:rRNA from 1 species